rnacentral:tmRNA from 1 species
GGGGACGACCAGGUAUCGAUGGAUUAGUACGUUUACAGUCGCAAGCCUCCUUUGGUAAAAGGAGUAAAAAAGACCAAAAAAUAAUUGUCAACAAAGAAGACAAAUUACUUGGUUUCAUCGCCAGUGGAGUUAAAUCCCUCGGAAAUGAGAUCAAAUCUUUCGCUCCCGUUUACGCUUUUGCCUAAAUUCGAGCCUAAAGACGUCCUAAGAGUUAGCGGAUCCCGGGCUGCUUUCAGGGCGAAAAAACACCGGAUUGAAUGCUUUGAGUCUGAUUUAGGCUCAAAGACUAACUAUAUCUAAAUCAAACUUAAGAUGAUCCUGGAUGUCGGUAAUCUUAAGCAAAACUGACACCCUAAGCUUGUAGACUCUGUAAUCUCAUUACUCCAGACGAGAGUUCGAUUCUCUCCGUCUCCACAA